AUUUUUAGUCUAAAAAAAUAAAACUAAAUUAUUAAAAGUUAUCUUCUUCAAAUUUAAAGGAUUUGGCGGUAAUUUAGUCCAGUUAGAGGAACCUGUUUUAUAAACGAUACACCACGAAAAAUCUUACCUGUCUUCAAAGUUUGUAUACCGUCAUUAUUAGAUAACUCCCAUAGGAAAUAAGUUAUUUUAAAAGUCUUUUUCACUAAUAUAUUAGAUCAAGGUGCAGCCAAUAGACAGGCCUUUAUGGGUUACAAUAAACUUUAUUUAUUAACGGAAUUUGAAUUUAAAUAUUCUUAUAAAGGAGGAUUUAAUAGUAAAAUUAGUUUAACAAGCUAUUUUGAUAAUGGAUCUAAAUUGAGUACAUAUCGCCCGUCGCUUUCAAUAAAAUGAAAUAAGUCGUAACAUAG
rnacentral:rRNA from 1 species